ncrna:unclassified sequences Glutamine riboswitch
AUCGUUCAAUCUAUUUUCUAAUAGAUCGGAAGUAAGCAACAAGCUGAAGGAACGCAGU